rnacentral:rRNA from 1 species
GACGAACGCUGGCGGCGUGCUUAACACAUGCAAGUCGAACGGAAAGGCCCUGCUUUUGUGGGGUGCUCGAGUGGCGAACGGGUGAGUAACACGUGAGUAACCUGCCCUUGACUUUGGGAUAACUUCAGGAAACUGGGGCUAAUACCGGAUAGGAGCUCCUGCUGCAUGGUGGGGGUUGGAAAGUUUCGGCGGUUGGGGAUGGACUCGCGGCUUAUCAGCUUGUUGGUGGGGUAGUGGCUUACCAAGGCUUUGACGGGUAGCCGGCCUGAGAGGGUGACCGGCCACAUUGGGACUGAGAUACGGCCCAGACUCCUACGGGAGGCAGCAGUGGGGAAUAUUGCACAGUGGGCGGAAGCCUGAUGCAGCAACGCCGCGUGCGGGAUGACGGCCUUCGGGUUGUAAACCGCUUUCGCCUGUGACGAAGCGUGAGUGACGGUAAUGGGUAAAGAAGCACCGGCUAACUACGUGCCAGCAGCCGCGGUGAUACGUAGGGUGCGAGCGUUGUCCGGAUUUAUUGGGCGUAAAGGGCUCGUAGGUGGUUGAUCGCGUCGGAAGUGUAAUCUUGGGGCUUAACCCUGAGCGUGCUUUCGAUACGGGUUGACUUGAGGAAGGUAGGGGAGAAUGGAAUUCCUGGUGGAGCGGUGGAAUGCGCAGAUAUCAGGAGGAACACCAGUGGCGAAGGCGGUUCUCUGGGCCUUUCCUGACGCUGAGGAGCGAAAGCGUGGGGAGCGAACAGGCUUAGAUACCCUGGUAGUCCACGCUGUAAACGGUGGGUACUAGGUGUGGGGUCCAUUCCACGGGUUCCGUGCCGUAGCUAACGCUUUAAGUACCCCGCCUGGGGAGUACGGCCGCAAGGCUAAAACUCAAGGGAAUUGACGGGGCCCCGCACAAGCGGCGGAGCAUGCGGAUUAAUUCGAUGCAACGCGUAGAACCUUACCUGGGUUUGACAUGGAUCGGGAGUGCUCAGAGAUGGGUGUGCCUCUUUUGGGGUCGGUUCACAGGUGGUGCAUGGCUGUCGUCAGCUCGUGUCGUGAGAUGUUGGGUUAAGUCCCGCAACGAGCGCAACCCUUGUUCACUGUUGCCAGCACGUUAUGGUGGGGACUCAGUGGAGACCGCCGGGGCCAACUCGGAGGAAGGUGGGGAUGACGUCAAGUCAUCAUGCCCCUUAUGUCCAGGGCUUCACGCAUGCUACAAUGGCUGGUACAGAGAGUGGCGAGCCUGUGAGGGUGAGCGAAUCUCGGAAAGCCGGUCUCAGUUCGGAUUGGGGUCUGCAACUCGACCUCAUGAAGUCGGAGUCGCUAGUAAUCGCAGAUCAGCAACGCUGCGGUGAAUACGUUCCCGGG